rnacentral:rRNA from 1 species
UGGGGGAUAUUGCACAAUGGGCGAAAGCCUGAUGCAGCGACGCCGCGUGGGGGAUGAAGGCUUUCGGGUUGUAAACCUUUUUCGCUAUCGAACAAGGCUCGCUUAGGGUGGGUUGAGGGUAGGUGGAGAAGAAGCGCCGGCUAACUACGUGCCAGCAGCCGCGGUAAUACGUAGGGCGCGAGCGUUGUCCGGAAUUAUUGGGCGUAAAGGGCUUGUAGGCGGCUUGUUGUGCCUGCUGUGAAAACGCGGGGCUUAACUUCGCGCGUGCUGUGGGUGCGGGCAGGCUUGAGGGUGGUAGGGGAGACUGGAAUUCCAGGGGUAGCGGUAGAGUGCGCAGAUAACUGGAGGAACACCGAUGGCGGAGGCAGGUCACUGAGGCAUUACUGACGCUGAGGAGCGAAAGCAUGGGUAGCGAACAGG